rnacentral:rRNA from 1 species
CAAAAACAUGUCCUUUAGAAUUUAAUUUAAGGUCUAACCUGCCCACUGAGUUAUUAAAUGGCCGCAGUAUUUUAACUGUGCAAAGGUAGCAUAAUCAUUAGUCUUUUAAUUGAAGGCUUGUAUGAAUGGUUGGACAAAAUAUAUAUUGUUUCAUUUAAAUUUAUAGAAUUUUAUUUUUUAGUUAAAAAGCUGAAAUUUAAUUAAAAGACGAGAAGACCCUAUAGAUCUUUAUAAUUAUUAAAUUUAAUUUGUGAAGAAUAUUUUAUUUUUUAUUUAUAUAAUUAUUUUAUUGGGGUGAUAGUAAGAUUUAUUUAACUCUUGUAUAGUUUAAUACAUAAAUUAAUGAUUAAUUGAUCCAGUAUUAUUGAUUAGUAAAAUAAGUUACCUUAGGGAUAACAGCGUAAUUUUUUUAGAGAGUUCAUAUCGAUAAAAAAGAUUGCGACCUCGAUGUUGGAUUAAGAGAUAAGUUUGGGCGCAGCCGUUCAAAUUUAAAGUCUGUUCGACUUUUUAAUUCUUACAUGAUCUGA